GGGCCUGUGGUCUAGCGGUUAUGCAUCGCUUGGGGAGUCUCCAGCGAUCGAUAGACGUCUCCCUUACGCGGAGAAGGUCGCCGGUUCAAAUCCGGCCGGGCCCA
rnacentral:tRNA from 1 species